GGCCUUGUGAACCUGCUCUCUUGCAAAGAUCCCUAUUCGAAAAAAGCCUUGGCUCCCUUUGAUCCCUUCUCUCGCUCAACUCUGGCAUGGAGUAGCUUCGGUUGCCCCUGCUAGAAACGAGACAUUCCACACUCUCUGGAACCCUAUUUGGUGAAACCCCUCCACCCGCAAACAUUCUUGCUUGACAAAGGAGUUCAGUUGCGUUUGAUCCCUGCUCUCCCUCAACCCUGGUCUACACUAGCUUUGUUUGACAUUGCAGUGAAGAAACGUUACUUUCCCUUGGAACCCUUUUGGUGAAACCCCUCUCAACAUCGGAAGAGAUCCCUUCGGCUGGAACCUUUAUGGUGAAAUCCCUGCUCUCUAUCUCUCUUGUCUCUCAUAUCUUCAAGGCAAAGCGGGUACGAAAAGACUAUAUUGCCCCUCAAUGCUCUGAAGAUGCAUCUACGUGGCCUCCCCUUGGUGUACAAGCUGAUGUAGUGGCUGCAUAAGCAGGACACAACUUUUUAUUGGGAACAACAAAAAUACGUUUCCAGGAAUCAAUGCGAAAGAUUACCUCUCGAGGUGGGGGUUGGGAGAAGCUGAAGUUGACUUUUGUCUGGAUGGCAAGCUUGACAUCAUCACAGUCAAUUGCAGGCUUGCCAGCAUGUUCGGAGUACACCAAUGCAUCUGUCAAAACAUCACCAACAUAACGAUACCACAGUUCAAGGAACUGGUGCACCACACGGGGCUCAUAUUCCCGGACACCCAUUGAUUUCAGCAAUGAUUUGACUAUCUUUGCAUCCCUUGGCAAUUCCUCGUCUCCCUCCUCCCUCUCUGCCAUCAGUAGCUAGCUUUUUGCCUGUGUAAAAGCCCAUAAUACAGUCCUCUGAGUAUCAUUUCAACACAUGAUUAGAAGAGA